rnacentral:rRNA from 1 species
CAUGGAGGGUGAGAAUCCCGUCCGGCUGACCUUCAGGACGUUUUACGAUACGCUCUCAAAGAGUCGAGUUGUUUGGGAUUGCAGCUCAAAAUGGGAGGUAAAUUUCUCCUAAGGCUAAAUACCGGCGAGAGACCGAUAGCGAACAAGUACCGUGAGGGAAAGAUGAAAAGAAUUUUGAAAAGAAAGUCAAACAGUACGUGAAAUUGUUGAAAGGGAAACGAUUGAAGCCAGUCGUACCGACGGGAAUUCAACUUCUCGAGUGCCUAUCGUGGGUGACGUUGAGCCUCACGGCCCUCGUUGCUUGUGUUGUUGGUGCUUUUGGGGUGUACUUUUCCGUAUGGUAGGUCAGCAUCGAUUUCGAUCGUCAUAAAAUGAUCGGGGGAAUGUAGCUUCGGUCUCGUAUCGGAGUGUUAUAGACCUUGGUAGAUGUGACGAUUGGGAUCGAGGAUUGCAGCGAAUACCCUCUGGGCUAUCCGUCUGUCCUCUGAAAGUCGCUCGGGUGUCGAAAGCGUGCUUAUGGCUAUUCGAGUUGGCGGUCAAUAGGUUAGAACGUGAUUAUAUUCGUUAAGGAUGUUGACGUA